UUCUUAGCUUGGAGUGUGUGUGGGUUCGGGCAUUGGUUUCGAGUGGUUUAGGGUGGUUUGUUUUUAGUAAGAUGUAUUUGUAGAAAGGAGGGAAGAAGAUGUAUUUCUAGAAAGAAGUAUUCAAAGCGGCAUCAGGCUGCCACUGUUUAGGGUUUGUUUUUUUGUGGGAAGCGCAGGAAGGGUGAAAACAACUACUUAGAGCUGAGCCGAUUUAAAGAAAAACCAGUGACCCCAAGGCCGAAAGGACAAACAUCCUUGUGUGAAUGGCUCAAGAGCCCUUGGAGCCAAGCUGGUGCCAAAAUUAGCCUAAAAAGAAUGCCAAGUAUUUCCAGGAGUCAGCCCUUGCUUAGCAUCUCCCUCAUGGAAUACAACCAGAAACAGAAAUCGAAAUGUACAAGUGAUGGUGAGAUUUUCCCUCAUGCAGGUACAGUGUUUAAGUCUGAUACAUGGUUGCAUCAUGCUCCCUUUAAAAGCAGAAUCUGUUUUCCAAUCAAAAUAUAACUCUUCUUUCCCCUGUAGAUUUCUGAUAGUAACAGCAAGAGGAGAAUUGGGACAGGAAGGAAAUGUCAUCCUUAGAGUCUGACAUCACUUCCAACAAAAAUUUAGAAACUUCAUGGGGGUGAAUUAUCCUCAUCUGUCUUCUCUUUAGGUCGUUGGUUUUUUUGUUUUGUUUUGUUUUGUUUGUUUUUUUCCACUUCUGAAGAAUCACAUGCUAAAGAAGGAUAAAGGACAAGAUGAAUUGUAAAUUUGAUCCCAUAUAGCAAUCUUUAACUUUUUGAGACCCACCUCAAGGCUCAGUGUGACUGUACAAGAGGUGAUAAAUAAAAUAUUCAUUACAUACA
rnacentral:lncRNA from 1 species